rnacentral:rRNA from 1 species
CCUACGGGAGGCAGCAGUGAGGAAUAUUCGUCAAUGGGCUUACGCCUGAACCAGCCAAGCCGCGUGAGGGAAGACUGCCCUAUGGGUUGUAAACCUCUUUUGUCAGGGAGCAACGUCGGCUACGUGUAGCCGGACUGAGAGUACCUGAAGUAAAAGCAUCGGCGAACUCCGUGCCAGCAGCCGCGGUAAUACGGAGGAUGCGAGCGGUAUCCGGAAUGAUUGGUUUUAAAGGGUGCGUAGGCGGAAGGCCAAGUCAGCGGUAAAAUCGCGGGGCUCAACCUCUCUCCGCCGUUGAAACUGGCGUUCUAGAGUGGGCGAGAGGUAUGCGGAAUGCGUGGUGUAGCGGUGAAAUGCAUAGAUAUCACGCAGAACUCCGGUUGCGAAGGCAGCAUACCGGCGCCCAACUGACGCUGAAGCACGAAAGCGUGGGUAGCGAACAGGAUUAGAUACCCGGGUAGUC